UACGGAGGUUGCAAGCGUUGUUCGGAAUCACUGGGCGUAAAGCGCGUGUAGGCGGCCUCCUCAGUCUGGUGUGAAAGCCCGGGGCUCACCCCCGGAAGUGCAUUGGAUACUGGGAGGCUGGAGUACCGGAGAGGAGGGUGGAAUUCCUGGUGUAGCGGUGAAAUGCGUAGAUAUCAGGAGGAACACCGGUGGCGAAGGCGGCCCUCUGGACGGAUACUGACGCUGAGACGCGAAAGCGUGGGGAGCAAACAGG
rnacentral:rRNA from 1 species